CAGAGAUCAUGCCCUCACGGGUAGACCUCCCACCCUGUUUAUAUACUAUUGUUGCUUUGGCAGGCCGCCUUCGGGCUCCCGGCUUCGGCGGGGGAGCGCCUGCCAGAGGACCCAAACUCUUGUGUUAAAAAUGUCGUCUGAGUACUAUAUAAUAAGUUA
rnacentral:misc_RNA from 1 species